AGUGAAUUUACGAAAAUACCUUUAUUUUUAACUGUUCAACCAGCUUCUUAUCUUCCAUUGCAUAGUAAAAUCACGAGGCAUCUGGUUUGAUUUCAACUAGCUAGUUCGACAACUUCAAGGGUAAAGAUGGGAGAGCUGGGUUGGUUUUUCGAUGUCUACAUCUGGAGGCUUCGACUUUUUUACAGACCCAUCUACCCAAACCAUCAGUUUUGGUUUCCAUUGUUCACCGACUUCCUUGUCUUCUUCAUUUUCGAUUUGAAGAUCAAUCUCCAUCUAAACUCAUCUCCGUCUGCUACUUGCCUGGCCUUAGCCUCUGAUCUUUCAUCCGUGUUUUCUUAAUCCCCUGCUUCUGUGUUAGGAGCUGCAUUUGGAGCCUCAUUUAUUUAGCUUGCGAGCUUGAUUUACUUCCGCAGGUUUUCAUUCUCUUCCCUCUCCAUCUCUGAUUUUAAUCUAUUGGUUUGGAAAAGCUCAUAUUCAAGUAAUUUUUAAACUCUAAAUCCCUAAUUGAUGAUAAUGCCUAAUAUUUUUAGUUAGUUGAAAUUUUUUAAUGAGUUAUUAGACGAAUGUUGAAGCCUACAAGUUUUCCACAUGGUUAAAGCCUACAAGUUUUGAGUCUAAGGCAAGAAGGAGAAGAAGGAAAAGAAGGAGAGAAGAAAGAUGAAGGAGGAGAUGGUUAAACUGAUGAUGAAAAAGAUAGGUGAAAAGGGAAUAAGAGGAGAGCAUGUGUUUUGUAGAAAUGAAUAGUGAGCAGAAGAAUAUAUUCUCUUUCUUGCCCAAAUUGAUUUAUUUGCUAUUUUAAUGAUAACUUUAAAUGAUACAUCUUUAA